rnacentral:lncRNA from 10 species
CAAAGGAUGCAAAUGUCCUAUUCUGCAGCCUGGAGUGCUCCAAGCCUGGAGCUUUGAAUGGAAGUAACUGUUUGCUGAAGUGCAGUAUGUGAAGAGGUGGGAGGAAAUGAACUUGGGCAUCUCAGAAGCUUUAAUUCAGAUGAUUCUGAUGCACAGCCAAGAUUGACAAUCAUAGAGCAACAUUGAGGGGAAUCUCAAGUUGGAAGUAUGUAGUAUCCUCUAACUGUAUUGAUCUCAGAAAACUUUCUCUGCAGCACAACUAUCAACCACUCUCCUAACUAAGUAUUGUUCCAGAAAUACUAGCUUGGUGAAUACUGACUUUGGCCAAAUAGGUAAAUUAGCCCAGGUUUACCCACAAGUAAAAGCAUUCUUAAUCACUAGUUUUUCUUAACUUUUUAUUUUGAGACAAUUAAAUACUUAUAAACAGUUGCAAAUAUAGAACAGAAUGGUCCUGUGUACCCUUCACCCAGCUGCCCCUAAUGGUAACAUUUUACACAACUAUAGUGCAAUACCCGAACCAGGAAAUAUUUUAACAUCGGUACAAUCUACAGACCUUAUUCAGAUUGCACUAGAUUUUACAUGCACUCGUGUGUGCGUGUGUGUGUGAGUGUAUUUCUAAGCAAUUUUAUCACAUAUAUGGAUUUGUGUAACUACCACUACAACCAAGGUUCAGAACUUUUUCAUUACCACAAAG